AAAAAAUUCUUAAUGCUACACAUCCAAAGAGUCCAGGUAGCCACAGAGAAGAAUAGAUUGUUUUCGCUAGUUUCAUAAGUGAAAGUCAGCCUGGCAUCCUACUUUAGCUAGAAAACAACAUCAAACAAUGUAUAGUUUUGUGGGCCAAGAAGUUUAUGAGUAAAGAACAGAUCAAGAGAUAGGAAGUCUGUCUCCUAGCAUCACAUUGGCAACUAUGUACCUGUUUGAGCUUGGCACGCUGGUGUAUCUUCUUAGGGUGACUGACCUCCUCGUCUCAAGAUGGGUGCCACAGCUGAAGGAAUGGGGGCCAUGGUUCUGGUCACCGGCUAGUGCAAGGCGGUUUACACCUGGCUAGCUUAGAAGAAUGAGGCCGUGGGUACAGGAACUGCUCCAGGCGAGACUACCUCCCCAGGGAAACAGCACCAGAAAGAAGGUGUACAGUUUUCAUCAGAUUCUCAAAGUUGUCUUAAUCUUCAGCAUGUUAAGAAUCACUGUCUUGGAGAUAAGCUAUAUCGUCCACCUCAUUUCACCAGUCGAGAAACUGCCCACCGCCUCCCAAACCUGAAUGAUUAAGCAACUUGCCUGACAUUCUCCAUGAGUGUAAGGCAGAUCCCAGGCAUGGCCAAAAGUCGGUAGACUUUCAGGAACAUAGGAAUUAGAACCAUCCCCACCAACACCAGUAUCCUCUGGACCUUUCAGGCCAACGAUAGACACUAAAUUUAGUUUUUAAAAAUAUUGGUUUUCACCAUAACUUGUAAGUGGCUCACUGACAUUGUUGAGGAGGCAGGAUUGCAUCAGAGAAACACUGCAUUACUCGGGUUUACCAUCACCCACUUGGCCCUGAUUUAGGACAGAGGCUGCGUAUGUGCACGAAUAAACACUCCCUUCCUCCUGUACUGCAUCCUGCUCACGAGUUUGGUGCCUGUGGCAAGUGUUUGGUCUCCUUUAAUGAAGCCCUGGAGUUGGGGAGAUGCUGUCUCCUUUUGUUUCGUGGAGGAGUGCUGCCAUAUCUAGCCCUGAGAUCUGAAACCUCUACCACAGUUCUCGUCCAACACGGCUUUCAGGUGCGGGGCGUUUGCACAACAGUCUCUUGGACGAUAAUGGAGAAGAUAGAAUUUCACAGAUCAGAAGGAAGUGGCAUGAGUGGAAACCUGCAGAGGUUGAGUUUCCAUGCUCUUCCGCCCUCACCUCAUCUCCACCCCUCUCCGGGUCUGUCCGUGGGAUGCUUGUCCGCACACGUAACUACAAACUGCAAAGUCUGUAAGUAUUUGUUGUCAGCGAUCCACCAAUUAACAUGUAUUCUCCAUAUACAGUGUGUAAACUGCUUUGUCUUUAGCUAAGUGAG
rnacentral:lncRNA from 1 species